GACGAACGCUGGCGGCGUGCCUAAUACAUGCAAGUCGAACGCAGUGGGGACGGGCGAGUAACACGUGGGUAACCUCCCAUCAGAGGGGAUAACACUUGGAAACAGGUGCUAAACCGAUACUGUCGGCUGGACCCGCGGUGCAUUAGCUAGUUGGUGAGGCAACGGCUCACCAAGGCCACGAUGCAUAGCGGGCCUGAGAGGGGGAUCGGCCACACUGGGACUGAGACACGGCCCAGACUCCUACGGGAGGCAGCAGUAGGGAAUCUUCGGCAAUGGAGGAAAGUCUGACCGAGCAACGCCGCGUGAGUGAGGAAGGUUUUCGGAUCGUAAAACACUGUUGUUAGAGAAGCGGUAUCUAACGAAAAAGCAACGGCUAACUACGUGCCAGCAGCCGCGGUAAUAC
rnacentral:rRNA from 1 species